UACGGGGGGUGCGAGCGUUGUCCGGAAUCACUGGGCGUAAAGGGCGCGUAGGUGGCCUGAUAAGGGUGUGGUGAAAGUCCGGGGCUCAACCCCGGAUCGGCCGUGCCGACUGUUAGGCUAGAGUACUGUAGGGGCAGGCGGAAUUCCGGGUGUAGCGGUGAAAUGCGUAGAGAUCAUGAGGAAGACCAGUGGCGAAGGCGGGUCUCUGGACAGUUCCUGACACUGAGGCACGAAGGCUAGGGGAGCAAACGGG
rnacentral:rRNA from 1 species